rnacentral:rRNA from 1 species
GUAGGUGGCAAGCGUUGUCCGGGAAUUAUUGGGGCGUAAAGCGCGCGCAGGCGGUUCUUUAAGUCUGAUGUGAAAGCCCACGGGCUCAACCGUGGAGGGUCAUUGGAAACUGGAGGACUUGAGUACAGAAGAGGAAAGCGGAAUUCCACGUGUAGCGGUGAAAUGCGUAGAGAUGUGGAGGAACACCAGUGGCGAAGGCGGCUCUCUGGUCUGUAACUGACGCUGAGGCGCGAAAGCGUGGGGAGCAAACAGGAUUAGAUACCCUGGUAGUCCACGCCGUAAACGAUGAGUGCUAAGUGUUAGGGGGUUUCCGCCCCUUAGUGCUGCAGCUAACGCAUUAAGCACUCCGCCUGGGGAGUACGGCCGCAAAGGCUG